GAUGAACGCUGGCGGCGUGCCUAAUACAUGCAAGUCGAGCGAACGGACGAGAAGCUUGCUUCUCUGAUGUUAGCGGCGGACGGGUGAGUAACACGUGGAUAACCUACCUAUAAGACUGGGAUAACUUCGGGAAACCGGAGCUAAUACCGGAUAAUAUUUUGAACCGCAUGGUUCAAAAGUGAAAGACGGUCUUGCUGUCACUUAUAGAUGGAUCCGCGCUGCAUUAGCUAGUUGGUAAGGUAACGGCUUACCAAGGCAACGAUGCGUAGCCGACCUGAGAGGGUGAUCAGCCACACUGGAACUGAGACACGGUCCAGACUCCUACGGGAGGCAGCAGUAGGGAAUAUUCCGCAAUGGGCGAAAGCCUGACGGAGCAACACCGCGUGGGUGAUGAAGGUCUUCGGAUCGUAAAACUCUGUUAUUAGGGAAGAACAGAUGUGUAAGUAACUGUGCACGUCUUGACGGUACCUAAUCAGAAAGCCACGGCUAACUACGUG
rnacentral:rRNA from 1 species